UACGUAGGGUGCGAGCGUUAAUCGGAAUUACUGGGCGUAAAGGGUGCGUAGGUGGCGGGGUAAGUCAGGUGUGAAAUUUCGGAGCUUAACUCCGAAACUGCAUUUGAUACUGCCUUGCUUGAGGACUGGAGAGGAGACUGGAAUUCACGGUGUAGCAGUGAAAUGCGUAGAUAUCGUGAGGAAGACCAGUGGCGAAGGCGGGUCUCUGGACAGUUCCUGACACUGAGGCACGAAGGCCAGGGGAGGCAA
rnacentral:rRNA from 1 species